GAUGAACGCUGGCGGCGUGCCUAAUACAUGCAAGUCGAGCGAACAGACGAGGAGCUUGCUCCUCUGACGUUAGCGGCGGACGGGUGAGUAAAACGUGGAUAACCUACCUAUAAGACUGGGAUAACUUCGGGAAACCGGAGCUAAUACCGGAUAAUAUAUUGAACCGCAUGGUUCAAUAGUGAAAGACGGUUUUGCUGUCACUUAUAGAUGGAUCCGCGCCGCAUUAGCUAGUUGGUAAGGUAAAGGCUUACCAAGGCAACGAUGCGUAGCCGACCUGAGAGGGUGGUCGGCCACACUGGAACUGAGACACGGUCCAGACUCCUACGGGAGGCAGCAGUAGGGAAUCUUCCGCAAUGGGCGAAAGCUUGACGGAGCAACGCCGCGUGAGUGAUGAAGGUCUUCGGAUCGUAAAACUCUGUUAUUAGGGAAGAACAAAUGUGUAAGUACCUAUGCACGUCUUGACGGUACCUAAUCAGAAAGCCACGGCUAACUACGUG
rnacentral:rRNA from 1 species